UACGGAGGGUGCGAGCGUUAAUCGGAAUCACUGGGCGUAAAGCGCGCGUAGGCGGCGCGGUAAGUCAGACGUGAAAGCCCUCGGCUCAACCGGGGAAUUGCGUUUGAUACUGCCGUGCUUGAGUAUCGGAGAGGAUGGCGGAAUUCCAGGUGUAGGAGUGAAAUCCGUAGAUAUCUGGAGGAACACCAGUGGCGAAGGCGGCCAUCUGGACGAUUACUGACGCUGAGGUGCGAAAGCGUGGGGAGCAAACAGG
rnacentral:rRNA from 1 species